rnacentral:rRNA from 1 species
GAUGAACGCUGGCGGCGUGCCUAAUACAUGCAAGUCGAGCGAACAGACGAGGAGCUUGCUCCUCUGACGUUAGCGGCGGACGUGUGAGUAACACGUGGAUAACCUACCUAUAAAACUGGGAUAACUUCGGGACACCGGAGCUAAUACCGGCUCAUAUAUUGAACCGCAUGGUUCAAUAGUGAACGACGGUUUUGCUGUCACUUAUAGAUGGAUCCGCGCCGCAUUAGCUAGUUGGUAAGGUAACGGCUUACCACGGCAACGAUGCGUAGCCGACCUGAGAGGGUGAUCGGCCACACUGGAACUGAGACACGGUCCACACGCCUACGGGAGGCAGCAGUAGGGAAUCUUCCGCAAUGGGCGAAAGCUUGACGGAGCAACGCCGCGUGAGUGAUGAAGGUCUUCGGAGCGUAAAACUCUGUUAUGAGGGAAGAACAAAUGUGUAAGUAACUAUGCACGUCUUGACGGUACCUAAUCAGAAAGCCACGGCUAACUACGUG